rnacentral:tRNA from 1 species
GCCUGGGUGGCUCAGUCAGUUGAGUGUCUGACUUCAGCUCAGGUCAUGAUCUCACGGUUUGUGAGUUCAAGCCCCACGUUGGGCU